UGCAUAGGAAUCUACCUAGUAGUAUGGGAUAGCCACUAGAAAUGGUGGGUAAUACUGUAUAAUCCCUGCGGGGGAAAGAUUUAUCGCUAUUAGAUGAGCCUAUGUUAGAUUAGCUAGUUGGUAGGGUAAAGGCCUACCAAGGCAGUGAUCUAUAGCUGGUCUGAGAGGAUGAUCAGCCACACUGGAACUGAGAUACGGUCCAGACUCCUACGGGAGGCAGCAGUGGGGAAUAUUGGACAAUGGGCGCAAGCCUGAUCCAGCUAUGCCGCGUGAGUGAGGAAGGCCUUAGGGUUGUAAAACUCUUUCAGUGGGGAAGAUAAUGACGGUACCCACAGAAGAAGUCCCGGCAAACUCCGUGCCAGCAGCCGCGGUAAUACGGAGGGGGCAAGCGUUGUUCGGAAUUAUUGGGCGUAAAGGGCAUGUAGGCGGUUCGGUAAGUUAAAGGUGAAAUGCCAGGGCUUAACCCUGGAGCUGCUUUUAAUACUGCCAGACUCGAGUCCGGGAGAGGAUAGCGGAAUUCCUAGUGUAGAGGUGAAAUUCGUAGAUAUUAGGAGGAACACCAGUGGCGAAGGCGGCUAUCUGGUCCGAUACU
rnacentral:rRNA from 1 species